rnacentral:rRNA from 1 species
UAACGCGUGAGCAAUCUGCCCAUGUCUGGGGAAUAACAGUUGGAAACGACUGAUAAUACCGCAUAAGACCACAGGAAGGCAUCUUCCAGGGGUAAAAGAUUUAUCGGAUAUGGAUGAGCUCGCGUCUGAUUAGCUUGUUGGUGAGGUAACGGCUCACCAAGGCGACGAUCAGUAGCCGACCUGAGAGGGUGAUCGGGGCCACAUUGGAACUGAGACACGGUCCAAACUCCUACGGGAGGCAGCAG